UCGUUCUAUGGCAGGAGAUACCAAGCUGUGAUGAGUCCAGCUCUCUCCUGUAACAGACAAGUGGUGGGCCUGAAACAGAGCUCCAACAAAGGUGCGUAUACUCCUUGAGUUAGGUUGGUAUCCGUGAGCAGCAUCACAUUGAGGUCUGCCUGAACAGUCCAUAAGAAGUGGAAUCCACACCAGUGCACUAGAGUGAGCUUUCAGCGAUCUGUGUCUGACACCUUCAAACUCAGAUUUUGUAUUGGAACCUAUGAACUACUCCUAACGGAAGUGCUAUCUCAGUGGCCUUGAUGUGGGGGUAGUACUGUGGAACCCUCUCUCACACCCCUUUAAUCUUGUUGGUUGGUUUGCUGGAGAGUAUGCUCUGGUGGGUUAACACCUCACCCCCAUGGUAACCAAAUGAGAAGAUUCUAGCAUCUUAGAGGGCACCAAACAUUAAGGAACCCUGUUCUCAAACAGCACCAUAAUCUGAAGUACUUGGAGCUAGGAAUUCAACGCAUGAUUGUUGGAACACACAAGUCAACCCAUCACAUGUCAUCUUUACUUCUGUGGUGUAGCAGGAAGAGUAACUGAAGGUAGAGGCAAGAGGGGCAGAAGACUAGAAACAAACCUAAGCUUAACGGUGUCCUAGUCAAGAGAGAAGUGCACAAAAGAUUUCAGGUGCCAAGGAGAAAAAUUCAUGGACUCUGUAGUAAAAUCAUGGGCCAUAUAUUUUUAUUUGGACUAUAUCCAAGAUUUCCUAAGAAUGGAUGAAGUUGUGAAAAUUAUCUACGUGCAUGAAUGAACAUUACAUUUUACUUAUAAGUAUGCUCUUCUGAAUCAAGAAGAAAAGGCAAUUAUGAUUUUUUUUUAUUCUCUGGAACUUUGUAAUGUAAAGUUUCCCAGAGUUCUUUACUGUGAAUGGGGAAAAAGCAAUAAAUUACCUUGAAGAGGAUAAGAAGGUAUUCAUCAUCAAACUUUUCCCCACUGAGAAUAUAAAGCCGAGACAUUACAGGGUUCUUAUUUGGGUCCUCCGUAAGUGACAUGUGCUUUGCUGUGGCUUGUUUUUAAAAAAAAAUGGGCUGAAAGGCGUAAAGACAGCAGGGGCAAUGGAAAAAGCCAAAGCAGUGGUGACAUUUUCUUGAAUGGGUUCGACAUUUCACUAACACAGAUUAGGAGGCUAUUUUAAGUCACGGUGAUUUGGUUUAGAAUGUGAGCUGUGUUUGUUUCAACAGCCUUUGCUCGGUCAGAACCUCGUUGGCCACAUGCUAACCAUCAGAUGGAUGCCUCUUUGCAAGAUGGGCAUGCAGAGGGAAGAAGGGUCCAUGAAACAGACACUGGCAACUGCAGCAAUGCAGGUUAGCCUCUCGGAGUACUUUUGGGGAAUUAGAAAGUGAAUGCUGAGUCACCCAGACUUUCUAGAAGGCAAAGGUGGGCAAUUCUAGGUUUUGGUGGUCACAGAAUGUGGCUUCUGGUGGGCCACACUCUAGCUAUGCCGGAGCUCAAAAAAAAAAAAAAAAAAAAAAAGAGUGAAAAAGGGGAGGAGAAAUACUCGCUGCACUGAAGAUCUAAUCUAUAAGGUUGGCCCUCGGUAUGCAGCUUUUGCUUAGUCUAGCUGAUGGUCUAUCCAUGGGACAGGCUUCUAAGGCAGGAUCUUUCCUUAGUUGAAGCAGAAUAAUGCCUGCCUGCUGUAGUAUUUAUUGUCUGCCAAGUUCUGUUGUAACUGCCAUGCAAGUAGCAUCCUACUCAAUCUCCACACAAGAGGAAGAAAUGGGCUUACCCAUAUGUGAAUCAUCUUGGCCAAGUCUAUACUGCUAGCAGGUUGCAGAUCUGUGAUUAGAGCCCCAGCCUGACAUAAGUGUCCCAUCACUGCUACUGACUACAUCUCUGUCGGAGCACAUGAAGAAAUGAUAGUGGAGGGGAGCAAAGCUGUUGUCUGAAUCCUUUGAGGGAAAUAGCUCUUCUAGAGAAGCUUAUCUCCAAAGGCUAGCCUAUACACAUGAGACUGCAUGAAAAGGACAUGCUGAUAGAAACCGCCCAGCAAUGUUACUCCACAACAGAAGACUGCAAGCAUGUCGCCACAUUUUCUUGAAGAUCUCGUGGCUUCUGUAUGUGCACCACUGUGUACUCAUCCCACAUUUACUGAAAAUAUAGCCUAUUAAAGUUCUUGUGGACACCAACAAGUAUCUUGCUGAGUAAACUUCACCCUGUGCAGCGUAGUAGCAUCCCAAUGCUCCACCGACUGCUGCAGCAUCCCAGGUGGCCUGCUUGCAUCUGCAAACACAGAAUCAAAGACAGACAGAAGAAAUUCAUGUUCAAGUCUUCGUGGACAUGAAGAUGUCAGUGGACUUUAACUUCUUCAUAUGUCAGUAGGAUUUUAAGGUAUUUGCUACCUUGAAGGUAAUGGAGACCCAACAAGAAAAUUCAGGAAAAGCAUAGUGCUUCGCCCCCCAAGGAAUGUGGGGAUCAUAAAAACCAUCAAGAGAUCCCUUUCGCUUUUUAAAGGGAAGCCACCACUCUUAAGCACUGGAGCAUCUCAAGGUUCUGGUCUUCUUGGCUUUGAUCAUGAACAAGUAUCACUGCUCUUGUGCAAAGUAGGCACUGCAUGGGUGGCGACUGAGUGCAGUAUACACUAAGGCAGAUUGUUGAUUCACUUUGUGCCACCAAGGCUGUGCCUCACUUUCUCCACCUGCACACAGGCCUAAUAAUACUUACCACCUACAUGUCUUACUGCUGUAGUGAGGCUUUUUAUAGGCAAAGGCAAAGGGAGCGGGGGAUCAUUAGAAGAUGUACAUCUAACAAAGUGGAAACCUUUGAACUUUCAGAGAUGUGGGGUUGUCGUGUUAUCUUCAUCUUUAAACUCCAUUUCGACAUCUCAGUUACAUUAGAAUUGGGUUCUCUUCCACCAUCAAUCCAGUACAUUCAGAUGCAGGUGUAUACUCUGACCUCUUAUUGUCUUAUAGUUCAACUUAAUUCUCACAAGAAGUCCACUGAGUGACUGUGACUGAAUAACUCUUGGUCCCUCUCAUUGCAUCCUAUUUUGCAUACAGGGAGAAAGGGUAGUUUUAUUUGACCUGUGCAACAGGAAUGAGGGCUGGAUUGUCAAAGGCAAUGAUGGUGCGGGGUAUGUGGGGGUGUGAUCACUUUAUUUUCAGGAGAACUUGCUUUAAAAGUAUCUCUUCAUAUGUUCCACAUAUACUUAAUGAGCACUUAUUAUGUACCAGACACUGUUCUAGUAAACAAACUAAAGUCUCUAGCCUUGUACACAUUGUACUUUUGAGAAAAUGGAGAACCGGUAAUCACAUGGAUAAAUUCAAGAGAUAACCUCAAAUAAUAAUAAGGGUUCUGAAGAAAAUGAAAUGGGGUAAUUGAUUUGAAAAGUGGCCAGGACUGGAAGAUGGUUUAGCUGAGACAAUUACCCAGACACAGAAAAACACACAUGGUAUGUACUCAUUUAUAAGUGUAUAUUAGCUAUAAAGUACAGGAUAACUAAGCUACAAUCCACAGACCCAAAAAUACUAAGCAGCAAGCAAGACCCAAGGGAGGAUGUUUGGAUUUUACUCAGAAGGGGGAAAUAGACACCUGAAGUAGAUGGAGGGAAGGAAUGGGUGGGAGAGAGGUAAGGGUGGAAACAGGGGUAGGGAUCAGGAAUUGGAGGAAAGGUUAGGAGAGAGAAUAGAAAUCAGCGGAGGCAUCUUUAAGAUGAGGGAGGCUCCCCAGAGUCUAUGGGGGUGUCCCUAGCUGAGACUUCUACCAGCAGGGUGCAUGGAGCCUAAAGAGGCCAACUCCUGUAGUCAGGCGGGACUUCCAGUGGAGGGAGGGGAACACUAACCCACCCACAAAACCUUCUACCUAAAAUUUGUCCUGCCUGCAAGAUGUUCAGGGAUAAAGAUGGAGCAGAGAUUUAGGGAAUGGCCAACCAACGACUGGCCCAACUUGAGACCCACCCCAUAGGAGAGAGACAACUCUUGGUACUAUUAAUGAUAUUCUGUUAUGCUUGCAGACAGGAUCCUAACAUAACUGUCUUCUGAGAGGCUUCAUCCAGCAGCUGAUGGAAACACAUGCAGAGACCCAUAGUGAAACAGUAGUUGGAGCUCAGAGAGUCUUGUGGAAGAAUGGAGGGAAGGAUUGAGGGAGCUGGAGGGAUCAAGGACAUCAUAAGAAGACCUACAGGGUCAACUAACCUGGGCCCAUAAGGGGCUC
rnacentral:lncRNA from 1 species